UACUGACAGUUCGAGUGGUACCCACGAAUAUUGAGCUUAAAGCGUCCGUAGCCGGCGCAGCAAGUCUUCUGUGAAAUCUUUCGGCUCAACCGACAGGCUUGCAGAAGAUACUACUUUGCUAGGGAGUGGAGGAGGUCAGGGGUACUUUAAGGGGAAGGGUAAAAUCUAGUAAUCCUUAAAGGACCAACUGUGGCGAAGGCGCCUGACCAAGACACAUCCGACGGUGAGGGACGAAGGCUAGGGGAGCAAACAG
rnacentral:rRNA from 1 species